CUUUUUUGAAACACCAACCUCUCACUGAUUCUCCCACAAACUUAUUUCUUAAGUUUCAUUCAAUCUAUUAGAUCUGCAAUCAUUCUCUCCCUCCCUCCUCUCUCUCUCUCUCUCUCUCUCUCUCUCUCAAGACUAGAAUCAUAAGCCAACUGAGGCACCAAGCUGGGCAGAUCAAUGGGGUGCGGGUGGAAUCGGUGCUAUCGAAGAAGAGAAGGUGGAGGUAAAGAAAGAAGACGAUAAUAAGAAGAAGGGUUCAACACCAUUUGCCAAGAAACUCAAGAACGGGACGUCUAAUGGGAUCAAAUGGCUAAAAAACAAAUGUCAACAGAAGAACUCUGACUUAGACUCAAAAUAAUUUAUAUAUUUUUCUCUCGGAUUUGUACCAAGAUUGUAAUUUCAAGAUUCAAAUUUGUAUCAUUCUCAUGUUUCCAUUGAUGAAACUAAUUAAAUGCAAAUCUAUAUAUAUUA